AUGGUGGUAGCCGUGGUGGUGGGUGUUACGCACAUAAAAAAAAAGAACGAUGGUGAAGAGAUAUCGAGUUCGAACAAAGCUGUGCAAGCCCUAUGUCAACCUACUAAUUAUAAAGAGACGUGCCAGAAAAGCUUGGCGUCGUCAAAUUCUAGCGACGUUAAGGAGCUGAUAAGGACAGGUUUCCAAGCCGGGCUAGUUGAGAUAAAGAACGUGUUGGCCCAUUCAGUGACGGUCCAAGAGUUGGCCAAGGAUGAGAACAACAAAGCGGCACUUGGUGUUUGCCAAGAGGUGUUGGACUUAGCCAUUGAUGACUUUCAAAAGUCUUUCGACGUGUUAGGGGAAUACGACAUGAGCAAGAUCGGAAAAUACCUUUUGGAACUGAAGACCUGGCUAAGCGGUGCAUUCACGAGUCAACAGACAUGUAUAGACUCAUUCGCGCAAUCAAGUAACGAAUCAUCGCAGAAGAUGCAAUCAAUCUUGAAGACUAGCAUGGAGAUCACUAGCAAUGCUUUGGCGAUGCUUAAUGGGUUAUCCACCAUCGUAAAGGAACUUAACAUUCCAAACGUCGGCAACAUCGACAGCACGGGGUUCAAUCGUAAGCUUUUGUCGGCUGAGGAUAUGCCUGAGUGGAUUAGUCAAGCUGACCGAAAACUCCUUCAAGCAAAACCAAUGGAUUUGAAGCCUAACGUUGUGGUUGCUAAAGAUGGUAGUGGGAAAUAUGAUACUAUUAACAAGGCAUUGGCUGAAGUCCCCGUGAAAAGUCCCGAUCGAUUUGUUAUUCACAUUAAGGCUGGUACUUACAAGGAAAAAAUCAACGUGACCAAGCAGAUGAUUAAUGUUGUAUUCAUCGGUGAUGGCCCAACCAAAACCAUCAUCACAAAUGACAUUAGCGUUGCUAAAAAUCCACCGGUUAGAACAUACCGCACUGCAACUGUUGGUAAGUAGUAUUAUAGACAUAUAUAAGUUUUGGUGGUGUGGUGAGGUGAGGUGGCUAACUAAUAUAUAUGUAUGUAUGUUUGUGAAAUAUUUUAGGUGUGGAUGGGGCUGGUUUCAUGGCCAAGGACAUUGGAUUCGAUAACUCAGCAGGACCCGAAGGUCAUCAAGCAGUGGCUUUUAGGGCAACUGCUGAUAGGGUCAUCAUGUUCAACUGCCAUUUCACUGGGUACCAAGACACUCUUUAUGCUCAUAGAGAGAGACAGUUAUAUACCAACUGUCUCAUUACUGGAACGGUGGAUUUCAUCUUCGGGGAUGCGGCGAGCAUUUUCCAGAACUGUAUGCUCAUCGUGAGGAAGCCAGGGCCUGGCCAAAAUUGCAUGGUUAUUGCACAGGGCAGGAAUGAUCUUGGAACAAACUCAGCCAUUGUGCUUCAAAACUGCACCAUCUCGGGCGCCCCUGAUUACAUCCCAGUGAAGGAUACAAACAAGGCAUACUUGGGGCGUCCCUGGAAACAAUUCGCUAGGUCUAUCAUAAUGCAAUCUCAAAUCGACGACAUCAUUCAACCAGAGGGUUAUGCCCCAAUGACAGGUACCAUAGGAAUAGACACUUCUUUCAUUGCCGAGUUUGGAAAUAGGGGACCCGGUGCUGAUACCAGCCGUAGGGUAGCAUGGAAAGGUAUAAAAAAGAUAGAUAUAAAUGAAGCCAACAAAUGGACUCCUCGCAUCUAUCUUGAAUCUGAGACUUGGAUUCCGAGUUCCGGCGUUCCCUAUAGUCCCAACAUGGUCCCUGGAGUUUAAACAGCUUAUUAUUGAUACCAACGCCAUUAGUAUGCUUAUUAUCAUAUCAUUGUUCUAAUUAUGUCGUUUUUAACUAAUUAAUUAAACAGUUUUUUUAAUCUUUUAUCUAUCUAUGUAUAUAUGUUGAAUUCUUUGGUUUCCCAAUUGUUGUUUCCACUCACUUGAUGUUUGCAAAACCCAAAAAUUAAGUCAACAUUUAAAUAUUAUUGAACUUAAUUUAAUAUAAUUUUUUAAAGAUUAUUUGGAUUGAUAAUGUUGUUUCCCUAAUGUAGACACCUUCCUUUAAAUAGAUUUAAUAAAAUGAUUAUUAUCAAACUUAAUUACAAGAUUUAAUAAAAAUAGUUUAUUAAGCAACAAUUACUAAUAUAAUAUUAAAAAUUAAUAAAAACAAUUAUAUUAUAAAAAAUCAAUCUUAUUUUUUUUAUAUAUAUUUUAUAUAUGGACUUAAGUAAGCAUCCCGCUCAUGGAAUCAAAGAUUUGAUCAAGUGGUAAAGAUUUUUUAACUUGAGCAAAACAAAGAAGAACAUUGUGUUUAUAAAUAUUUAGAGGAUGAAAAGGUGGUCUUUCUCUUUCUAUAUGUCAAGUGAAAUUCCACUAGUUGAGAAUAAUGUAGGGAUAUUGUAACACCCCAUAUCCGUAACCCAAGCCGGGACGGAGUACAAGGCAUUACCUACUUGAUCUCGUACAUUCAAUCCAUUUUAAGUCACCAAGACUCGGUCCAAUUUAAAACAUUUUCAAUUUCUACUUUAAACCUCUUAAUAUAGGCCUAUGAGGCCUAGAUCGACCAUUGGAAACCGUUCGAAAUUUUUCCAGGUCCUUAUCCAAUCUAUGUAAACUUUGCAUUUAAAACAGGGCACACGCCCGUGUGGGAAGGUAACACGCCCGUGUAAUCAUCCUAACAUGGCCGUGUUGAUGACCCGUGUGUUUUACACGGCCUAAACAUCUAGGGACAUGCCCGUGUCCCUUACCCUUGUGGCCAAUUAUUUACACCAUUUUACAAAAUUCAAGUGUAGACUUCACACGGCCUAGACACACACCCGUGUCCCUGGCCCGUGUUGCUCACACGGCCUUGACACACCCGUGCCUUAGCCCAUGUGAGAAAGCUUGAGUAUUCUAUUUCUGACGUCAGCAUACCCACCAUGUCACACGGCCAUAGCACACGCCCGUGUGCUAGGCCAUGUUCUCCAUACGGCUGAGUCACACAGCCGUGUCUCUGCCCGUUUGUUUAUUACCAUGCAUACUGACUUGAAAUUUUUACGUGCAGGGGACACACAGCCUCAUCACACACCUAUGGGGCUAACCGUGUGUCACACACGGCUUAGACACACGCCCGUGUGCCUACCAGUGUGGACAAAAUAAGGCUAUUUACCAAGCCUAUUUGCCACCCCUACCGAUAUAAAUUAACACAAACUCAACCAACACCAAUUCUAGCCUAUACCAUACAACCACUUCAACUACUAUAGACAUUCUUUCAUAAGGCAAUUUACUCAAACCAGGAAAUAUCAUCUUUGCAUAUGAUCAAAAUGAGUGAUAGUCAACAUCAAGGCUAAAUACAAAGUGUGGGGCUUAUCCCAAGCCUACACCUCUAACCAAUGCUUAAGGGCACAAAAUAAUCAAAUCUAAGCCUUAUACAUGCCAUAUUCAAAAAUAUAAAUCCAAUUAUACCGAAGGUUUUGGACGAUAGUGUGAUCGAUAUCUCUGACUCCAAGUGAUCCUUGAGCUAAUUAGGCGACACUAUAAGAAAAUGGAAAGAAAAAGAGGGUAAGCAUAAAAGCUUAGUAAGUUGCAUAUAAAUAAACAUACAACAACAAUUCAUCAAUAGUUGUCAUGCUCAUAACACAAGGAUAAGCAUAAGUAUGACUUACUCAUUACCACCCAUACAAGUCAUGUGCUCUCCAAUGAGCUCAUUUCUCAUAUGUACCAAUUUGGUACUUGUAUCACUUACAACAUGGUUAUGCUUCCAUCAUUAACUAGCAAGCAUACUUGCACCAUUGAACCAAUGGGUACACUACUGGUCAUUCUAUAAACCUUGAUCUAGGGAUAAAGUGCCGAUGCUAUGUCCCAGACAUAGUCUUACACUGGCUCAAAUCUCAAGUCGAUGCCAUGUCCCAGACAUGGUCUUACACUGACUAUCAUUAUCGAGGCCGAUGCGUGUCCUCGACACGUCUUACUCUAGCCCUCGUAUCAAUGUCGAUGCCAUGUCCCGGACAUGAUCUUACACUGGCUCUCAUAAUGUGGCCGAUACAUUUUCCAGACAUGUCUUACACUAGCUCACAUAAGGGACCCGGAUGUCUCAGUUUGAACAUCCGGUUCAUUUCCUAGUAUUUUAAAGGAAUCUCUGCCAUCUCAUUGUUCUUAUGCAUUCUCAAUACUUAAUUAAGCAAUUCAUGCUAUAUCCAUUCCAUAACAAUUAGACACCUAUUUUAUUGAUAUAGUUGCAUUAUUUACAUACAACUUACCUCAGUUUACAAAAUGUACUCGACUAGUUGGUUUAGUCGAUUUGCUUGGCUUUCCCCUGGUCUAGAUUCGGUUUUUGAAAAACUUGAUCUAGAAUAAAAAAUGCGGUCGUUUAGUCACUAAUUAUAAUUAGGCUACUGUAAAUUCACAUAUUUGAUAAAAUGACCAUUUUGCCCUUAGACUUUGGCAAAAUGACCAUUUUACCCCUAUGAUCGAAAAUUAAUUUUUAUCAAAUUUAUUCGUAUUUCAAGCCUAGCCGAACUCUUUCUACUCUUGUAGAAACCCCAAAAUCCCACUAUUUCACACACUUAUCACCUAUUUUGCAACUUAUGCAAAAUAGCCCAUUUAGGUGUUUUCAUGCUAACACCUUUCACAAAAGUUGUUAAGAAAUCUUCUAAGACUCAUAUUCUUCCAUAAAAACUCAGAAAACAUCACAAGUCCAUCCAUGAAAAAACCCUAAACUCUUAAUCAUUUUUCAAAAUAGUCCCCUCAUAUGAAAGCUCAUGCUUUAGGGGUUCCAAAAAUAUAAAAAUCAUCAACUAAGGACAUGGAAAUCACUUACUUGUUGAGGUGAUAAGUUGCUGAAAUUUCAAAGCUUCAAAACCCCUCUUUUUUUGAUAUUUUCGGUGGAGAGAAGGUGUGGAGAAGAAAGAAAAUAAUAGCUAAGCUCAUAGGUAUUAUUUUAUCACAAAAUUAUGUCAUCAAGCCACCUAAUAUUGACCUUUUUUACUAAACUUGUCUCCUAUGGUCGGCCACCUUUUUUCUAGGGUCUAAUUUCUCUUUAAAGGCCCUCAAUUUUAGUUCUCUAGCUAUUUAACACAUUUGGGGUACUAAAAUGCAACUUUUUCCCUUUUUGCGAUUUAGUCCCUUUUAGCAAUCGGGCUCGCAAAUAUCAAAAUUAACUCACCAAAUUUUUCAUACACUAAUAUAAUCAUGUUAUAACCUUAUAAUAAAAAUAAAAAUAAUUUUCCAAACUUCAAAUUUAUGGUCCCGAGACCACUGUUUCGAUUAGGCUCUAAAUCGGGCUGUUACAGAUAUUGUCAUCGUUUAAACUAUAGUUAACCCAACAGUUUAGGAUGAAGGACUUGGAAGAAGCUAAUUUUGUUCUCAGUAUUCAAAUUCUAAGGGAUUGAAAGAACAAAGUGAUGGCACUAUCGCAAGAUUCACACAUAGGCAAUAUAUUGUAGCGCUAUGUUAUAACUGAUUCGAAGAAAGGUAAUCAAUCUUCUAAUAUCGAGAAUUCACCUCUUUUUGAGGGAUUGUCCUAAGAUAUCAGAAGAAAAUGAGAACAUAAGAAGGGUUCAUUAUGCUUCAACAAUAGGAAGUCUCAUGUAUGCUAUGUUGUGCAUGCAAUCGGAUAUCUAUUUUACAGUAGGUUUGGCGAGUCGAUAUCAGGUGAAUCCAAGACUAAGACACUGACAAAUAGUUAAUACAGUUAAUAAUGAUCAAUUAAUAGAAAAUAUUAGGUUUUGCUGCUGGACUCGUCCGUCAGCUUAGUCAAGAUGCAUUGAUAGGCUACUUGUAGUUCAUUUCUAUUUGUAUUAGUCAAACACCCAUCAUGCCAUUCUAUCUAUCUAGGAUUGUUUCUUUCUCUAAAUUUACCUUUUCAGCCUACUUUAAUGACUGACAACUCUUUUCAUAGGUCACAAUGAUUGAUGAUUUGCAAUGCCACAUGAUUACACAACCACAGUAGCCUGCACUUAGCAUUUUUUGCCUCGUAAGAAAGGUGAAAAGUAUGGUUUAAACUUGUCACUUAUCAUGUCUCUACUUGUGUCGUUGCUCCAAACUGGCUUUUCAGAUAUACUCGAGGUAAUGGUUGGCACAGGUGUUGCUAAAUGAAUUAGCAAGGGAAUUUGUACUAAACUUCCUAAAUACCAGAUCUGAAAAAUUUUAAGUUCUUCAAUUCUUGGUUUACUGCAUUGCUUCAUUCGUUGACGACAUGUCUCUUGCAAUGUUAGUGCACUCUGCGAUGCUUGCCGUUCAACAUCUAUACUUGUUAACUGCCCAACUUGAUUGAGUCAUUCUAUAUAAGCAUAAGUUCUAUCUAUCUAUCUAUCUAUAUAUAUACAUAUUUCCAAUUUUGUUUAACAUCCAGAAAAUUCCUUGACCUUCAAAUCCCCAAGGUUCAUGGUUAAAGUCUAAAGGCAUGCAAAGCCUAAUCAAUUCAAGUUUAUCAAUUGGGUCUAUUAUUUUUUUCCAUUUUUGCCUUAAAAAUUCUUGUAUCAAUAGACACUCUUCUACUAGCUCGACCUUAAUUACCAAUGUUUCUAUUGGUUGAUUUGCAUUAUGCUGCUACUGUAUUUCAAAUUUAUUGGUACAAUCCAAUGGUUCUAAGACAAUGAGUUCCAUGAUGGUCUAAUUCUUUAGCUUGCUAGCCAUUUUCCCCACUAGCUCUAUGUCUUCCCCUUCUGUAGUGGUGUUCAACUCAUUUAGAUACUUUUUUGUCUGCUGAUAUGAGUAAUAGUCUAGGAGUUCUCCUUCUUCACAAGCGUCUAUAAUGUCAUUCUCUUCUUUUCUCAACUUCGGACUUAGCACAUCAUGGUACCUUUCUGAUGGUAUAUCAAUAUGGUUGUUAUUAUCUUGGGAAAGAUCUAGGGUUUCUCUUCGAAGUUGACUUAAUUCGAGUAAGAGUAAUCAUUGAAUCUCUUGGAUCUCCUAAUCUUCAUACACUCCUUCUUCGUAAGUAUUUUGAUCAUAAUCAAAGUCUUCGUCGAACCACGUAUAAUAAAAAUAAUCCAUGGCUUUGUGCUGACUGGUUGUUUUGUGCCUAGGAUUCCUAAGAAUAAACAAAUGUAAUUAACAAAAUAAUUUGAAAGUUGUAACUAUAAACCACAAAUUUCCUAAUUAUUCUUUUAAAAUGAAAAAAAUUAAAAUCAAUCUAGUGACAUUGCCUCCCCGGCAACGGCGCCAACAACUUGACCGCCUUUAGACGUACUAACGCCCAGAGUGUGAAUACUGCAAUAAAAUAGAUAAUUACGAUAUAGUAUCAACAACUAUAUGGGUCGAGUUGUAAUAUAGUUUUUACAAUGAAGUAGGUGAGUACUCCGAUGAUCGUACCCAAGAAAAGCAAGUGUUAGAUUAAUUCUAACCUAAAUACCAAAAGAUCUAAUUAGCACUUUAAAUAAAUUAUAAUAUGAAAGUAUAUAAAAAAGGGUUUUUUAAGGUUUUUAAUAAUAAUAAAAUCAAAUAACAUAAAAGAAAUAAAACUUGUUAGAAUUAAGUGACCCAAAUUCUUAUUUAAAUAAAAUACGAUGGAAAAUAAAAUAAAAGUAAAAUCCAUAUAGAACUAGACUUCUUUUAUUUUAUUUUAGAAUAAGGUUUUUUAAACCUUAUUAAACUUCAUCUAUUUUAUAUUAAUUAGUGUAACAACCCUCGCUCGCAUCCGACGCCGGGACGGGGUUCGAGGUGCUACCUGACUUUUACUAACACUUCCAUACUAAACAGGGCCAUGAAAUCUCAAAUAAUUAAAAACUUUUAUUUUCACAUACAAUCUGUCCCAUAUACGGGCUUACGAGGCCCAAAACAUACAUCCGGAGUGGUUCGGGACCCAACCGAGAACUCAUGAAAAACUUAAAAAAUCUCUUGCAUCAAGGCUUCAUACGCCCGUGUGGGUAUAGAGCACACGCCCGUGUGCUAGGGACACACCCGUGUCCAAAAACCUGGACAAAUACAAGGCUAUUUUCCAAGCCAUUUUGUCACACUCACAAUAGAUACACGCAUGCUUAUACAAUAACAUACAACAUGGCAAAAUUAGGUACUUAAACAUUCCUAACAUGUCAUGAUUAUGGCAAUUUCACAUGCAAUAGAUAUCAUAGAUUUUACUCACAUCUUUACCACAUUCAUACUAUAAUCAUUAUAAACUCAUCACAUAAUACCAUAGCACAUGCAUGCAUAAUUAAAAUAGAUUUACAACCCCAUAAUCAAAAUAGGCCAACACAUAUGAUUAAAGCCAAUCACAUACUCUAAUAUUUAAACUCCUAUACAUGCCGGAGGCUCAAAGUACUUGAAAUCACUACACCAAUAGCGUUAGCUUGACAGUGUGAUAAUAUCUCUGACGGCCUCCAGCUCGAGCUAACUUGGAAACUCUAGAAAACAUGGAAAAGAAGAGGGGGGUAAGCUUUCGCUUAGUAAGUUCAUAUGAAAAUAAUAAGCACUCAUUAACUUGUUUUAUCAAUGUUUACAACAUAUUCUCAAGUUCACUACAAGCUGUCUUUCUGACCAAUGGUCACUAAAUUAUUUAUAUAUGGAGAUACGAAACUCCGAAUUAAGUUCCGUUAAUUUUCCCUGAAACUAGACUUAUUUUAAUUUCUUCCAUAAAAUUUUCAGAAUUUUUGGUUAAGCCAAAUAGUACAGUUUAUUUCUCAAAGUUACCCCUAAUUCACUGUCUGACAGUUCCGACCCUUUUGUACUAAGGUUCAAUUAUCUCAUAGUACAAGACUUGAAUAAUAUUCUCGUCUAUUUCUAUUGAAACUAGACUCAUAUGUAUACUUACUAAUUUUUUUCUAGAAUUUUUGGUCAAGCCAUUUAGUACAGUUUAUUAGUUAAAGUUUCCCCUAUUUCAGGGUAUGACUACUCUGACCCUUGUGCACUACAAACCGAAUUUGUUUUCCUUAAAAAUAUACUCAAUAAGGAAUCCAUGCAUGUAAGUUAUGACUCUUAAUAAUUUUUUUAAAAUUUAUGGUGAAUUUCUAAAGUCAGAACAUGGGAUCUUGAAUUCAUUCAGACCCUGUUUCACAAGAAUUCAAAUAUCACACAAUAUGGAAUUCUUUUUGUUCCCCUAUUUAUUUCAUGUGAAAAUAGACUCAUUAAGCUUUAAUCCCAUAUUUUAUUAUGCCUCUAACUCAUUUUACACUAUUUUUAGUGUAUUUUCAAAGUUACACUACUGCAGUAACUCAAAUCUGUCAAGGCUAAAUUACUCAUUCAUGAUCAUUGUUCACAAAAUUAAUACAACAUCGUUUGUAUAAUAUCACCGAGACAUUCAUAUCACAUUUUCAUUUACCAUCUUACCAUAUUGUUGUUAUGUUGAGUUUUCAACCCAAGGGUUAAGUACAUACCUGUUCAAAGUAUCCAUUUCACAACAUUUAUCAAUACAUCCCUUUCAUCUCGAGUAUUCCUCCAUUUGAGUAGAAUUUUACGUGUUGAACACAUCGGAAUAUAAUUCGGAUACAUGGAAAGUUUGCACAUAAGUGCCACAUAUGUAGCCAAGCUACCAUGUAACCCGCCCAUAAGUGAACUCGGACUCAACUCAACGAGCUCGGGCGUUCGCAUCCAUAAGUGAACUCGGACUCAACUCAACGAGCUCGGAUGCCUAGUUACAUCUCACGAACUCGGACUCAACUCAACGAGUUCGAACGUUCGCAUCCAUAAGUGAACUCGAACUCAACUCAACGAGUUCGGAUGCUCAACCAUCCUAGUGACAUGUCAUUUGUAUCCUAAUCUAUUCCUAAGGUUCAAACGGGAUUUUCCUCGAACACAUAUCCUUGCCAUCUUCCGUAAAAUAACAGAUAAUACACAUAACUUGCAUUUUAUUCGAAAAUAACCACAAAGCAUAUAUUUCAUGAUAAAAAUCAGCAUAUCAUAUAUUUAACAUCAAUAACUUAAAAAUAACAAUUAUGCUACAUUAUUUACACAUGAACUUACCUCGAUACCACAAAGGUGAAAAAAAAAACGUAAUUAUCCCUUAAUCGAUUUCUUUCCGUUCUAGGUCCAAAUCUCGAUUUUCAUCAUCUAAAAUAUCACAUUCAACUUAUUAAAACAAUGUACUGAUCAAAUUAGUCCACUGACACACUUGGGCAAUUUUUACAAUUUUGCCCCUAUAUUUUGCCAAAACUACCAGAUUACCCCUAGGCUCGUAAAAUAAUUUUUAUCACAUUUCUUUACUCUUGAGUCUAGAUGAACCAUUUUCAUAACUGUAGCAACUCAUAAUUUCAACUAUUUCACACAUUUACAACUCAUUUUACAACUUAGCAAUCUAGCCCUUUUUAAGGUGUUUUCAUGCAAUUUCUUUCAAAAAAGUUGUUUAUUAGACAACUAGGACUCAUAAUCUUCCAUAAAAAAUACAGAAAACAACACAUUUACUCUCAUGGAAAAACCCUAGACUCUUCAUCAUUUUGCAAAAUAGACCACUCAUAUGAAAGCUCAUGCUUUAGGGGUUCCAAAAAUGUAAAAAUCAUCAAGCAAAGACAUUAAAAUCACUUACAAGCAAGGGAAAUAUGUUUCUGAAAUUUUCCAGCUUCAAAGCCCUUUCUUUGCUGCAUAUUUCGGUGAAGGAGAAGAGAAAAAUGAUAGCUUUUUCUUUUUGAUUUGUUAAUAAUAAAACUAGUCAAAAUUGGUGACCAAAUUUCACCUAAUUUUGACUUUUCAACAAUUUUGUCUCCCAUGGCCGUCCAUCACACUUUCAAUGGCCUAAUUUCACUUUAAAUACCCCCAAUCUAAGAUACAAGGCAAUUUAACACCUUUAGGUAUUAAAACACAACUUUUACCUUUUACGCGAUUUAGUCCUUUUUCGAAAUUGGACUAGAAAUUGCUAAAAUUAACUUACCAAAAUUUACAUGCACUUAUAAAAUUAUAUUAUAGAACAUAAAAUAAUACUAAAAAAAUUUUCUCUAGCCUCGAAAUAGUGGUCCCGAAACCACUGUUUCGACUAGGCCCAAAAUCGGGCUGUUCCUAAUUUUGACUUUUCAACAAUUUUGUCUCCCAUGGCCGGCCAUCACACUUUCAAUGGCCUAAUUUCACUUUAAAUACCCCAAAUUUAAGAUGCAAGGCAAUUUAACACCUUUAGGUAUUAAAACACAACUUUUACCUUUUACGCGAUUUAGUCCUUUUUCAAAAUUGGACUAGAAAUUGCUAAAAUUAACUUACCAAAAUUUACAUGCACUUAUAAAAUUAUAUUAUAACACAUAAAAUAAUACUAAAAAAAUUUUCUCUAGCAUCAAAAUAGUGGUCCCGAAACCACUAUUUCUACUAGGCCCAAAAUCGGGCUGUUACAGAUUAGGAUAAGGUGUUUCAAUCCUACUAGAAUAUGGCUUUACAAGCCUAUAAAUAGACAUAGUCUAUUCCUCUUGUAUUGAUUCAAUUUUUUGACAUAGUAAAUUUUCUUCUCCUCUGCCCGUGGUUUUUUCCCGAAAGGGUUUCCACGUAAAAUUUGUGUGUUCUUUAUUUUUAUUUUAUUUUAUUUUAUUUUCAAAUUGGUAUCAGAGCUUCCGGGUAAUUCAUCUCGAUCACGGUAAUGGCAUCUUUGAAGUAUGAAAUUCCGCUGUUGGAUCGCAACACUAGAUUUGCGUUGUGGCAAAUUAAGAUGCAAGCAGUUAUUGCACAAAUGGAUCUGGAGGAUGCCCUGCUAGGGAUAGAUAAGAUGCAUCUGCAUUUGUCCAACAAAAUUUUGCAGGAUGUGAUGAAAGAGAAGACUGCCGCUGCAUUAUGGAAGAGGUUAGAACAAAUAUGUAUGUCAAAAACUCUAACAAGCAAGUUGCAUAUGAAGCACGUCUUUAUGCUCAUCGUUUGGAGGAAGGUGCAUCUGUACACGAACACUUAACAGUGUUUAAAGAAAUUCUCUCAAACUUGGAGGCCAUGGUGGUUCAGUAUGAUAAGGAAGAUCUAGGGUUGAUUCUACUUUGUUCGUUGCCCUCGUCUUAUUCAACCUUUAGAGACAUGAUUUUAUAUAGCCGCGAAUCUCUCACAGUUGAUGAGGUUUAUGAUUCUUUAACCUUGUAUGAUAAGAUGAAGUAUCUUGUGGUUAAACCCGACUCUUAGGGAGAGGGUCUCAUUGUUCGUGGGAGACAAGAUCGGAAUGCUGAUGAUGAUCGUGGUAGGAUACAGGAACGAAAUCCUCGUGGUAAAUCUAAAGGUAGAUCGAAGUCUUCAAAUAGAGGUAAAACUUGUAACUUCUGCAAGAAGAAAGGACACAUUAAAUCUGAGUGCUAUAACCUACAAAAUAAGAUUAAAAGGGAGGCUGUGAAUCAAAAGGAAAAAUAACCAGAAAAUUCCGAUGAAGCUGAUGUUGUAGAAGAUUACAGCGAUGAUGAACUUCUAGUUGCUUCUAUCAAUGAUUCUAAAGUAAGCGAGAAAUGGAUACUUGAUUCAGGCUGCACCUUCCACAUGAGUCCCAAUCGAGAUUGGUUUACAACUUACAAAACAAUAUCUGAAUGUGUUGUUUUGAUGGGAAAUAAUGCUUCGUGUAAAAUCGCAGGUGUUGGAAUAGUUAAAGUUAAGAUGUUUGAUGGAGUUGUCAGAACAGUUAUGAGGUACGACAUGUUCCAGAAUUAAAGAGAAAUUAAAUUUCGUUGAGUACUCUUGAUUCAAAAGGGUACAAAUAUACAGCUGAAAGUGGGAUUUUAAAGAUUUCCAAAGGUUCCCUUGUUGUGAUGAAAGGGCAAAGAAAAACUUCCAAGUUAUAUCUUUUGUAGGGUUCUACUAUUACUGGUGAUGCAGCUGUCGCUUCCUCUUCCUUGUCAGAUGAUGAUAUUACUAAAUUUUGGCAUAUGCGCCUAGGGCAUAUGAGUGAGAAUGACAUAGUAGAAUUGAGUAAAAGAAGACUUCUUGAUGGGCAAGGAAUUUGCAAACUAAAUUUCAGUGAGCACUGUGUUUUUGGGAAGUAAAAGAGAGUUCGAUUCACUAGAGGAAUCCAUAACACGAAGGGAAUAUUGGAGUAUAUUCAUUCUGAUCUGUGGGGGCCAUCCAGAGUGCCUUCGAGAGGUGGAGCUAAUUAUAUGCUAACCUUUAUUGAUGAUUUUUCCAGAAAAGUUUGGGCGUUCUUCCUGAAGCAGAAAAUCGAUGUGUUUUCCGCAUUUAAGUCUUGGAAAAUUAUGAUUGAAAAUAGACGGGAAAACAGAUAAAAUACCUCCGCACAGACAAUGGCUUAGAGUUCUGUUCUGAUGAGUUUAAUAGAUUGUGCAAGUCAGAAGAGAUCAUGAGACACUUGACAGUUCGUCAUACUCCACAGCAAAACGGCAUUGCAGAACGAAUGAACGGAACGAUCAUGGAGAAGGUUCGAUGUAUGUUGUCAAAUGCCAACUUAUCGAAGUCAUUUUGGGCAGAAGUAGCCUCUACUGCAUGUUUUUUAAUUAACCGAUCUCCAUCCGUUGCCAUUGAGAAAAAGACUCCACAAGAGGUAUGGUCUGAUAACCCUGCUAAUUAUUCUAAUUUAAAGAUUUUUGGGUGUCCUGCGUAUGCUCAUAUUGAUAAUGGAAAAUUAGAACCGAGAUCCAUUAAAUGCGUUUUUCUUGGUUAUAAAGCUGGUGUAAAAGGGUAUAAGUUAUGGUGUCCUGAAAAUAGAAAAGUUGUGAUUAGCAGAGAUGUUGUUUUUGAUGAAACUGCUAUGCUACCUAAGUUAUCUCUUAAAGAAUCUUCCAAUAAAGAAAAUCAAAAACAGGUGGAGCAUCAGAUUAAUACAGAGUCAACUCCUCAAGCCAGAACAAAAGUUGAGAAUAUAGUUGCUUCUUCACCACAAUACUCUAUCACCAAAAGCAGAACUAGAAGAGAAAUUAAACCUCCAAAGAAGUAUGCCGAGGCUGAUCUAGUUGCUUAUGCUUUAAAUAUUGCUGAAGAUAUAGAUACGAAUCAAGAGCCAUCUAAUUAUUCUGAGGCGGUUAGCUGUGAAGACUCAAAAAAGUGGAUGUUUGCUAUGCAAGAAGAGAUGGAAUCACUCUACAAAAACAGAACAUGGGACCUUGUGAAACUUCCUAAAGGUAAAAAAGUUGUUCGUUGUAAAUAGGUGUUUAAAAGGAAAGAAGAGACUCUAGGAGUUGAAGAACCCAGAUAUAAAGCAAGACUUGUUGCAAAGGGUUACAGUCAAAUUUCAGGAGUGGACUUCACAGAUGUGUUCUCUCCAGUUGUUAAGCAUAGUUCGAUUCGAUCUUUGCUUGGUAUUGUGGCCAUGCAUGAUUUGGAGCUUGAGCAGUUAGAUGUAAAAACUGCAUUUCUGCAUGGAGAACUUGAGGAAGAUAUUUACAUGCAACAACUAGAGGGUUUUAUUGUCUUAGAAAAAGAGGACUAUGUUUGCUUGUUGAAAAAGUCCCUUUACGGUUUGAAACAGUCACCAAGACAGUGGUACAAGAGGUUUGAUUCCUUUAUGACUUCUCAUGAUUUCAAAAGUAGUUUUGACAGUUUUGUUUACUUUAAGAAAAACAGUGAUGGUUCUUUUGUGUAUCUACUUCUUUAUGUUGAUGACAUGUUGAUAGCAGUAAAAGAUAAAGGAGAGAUAAGAAAUGUCAAAACACAACUAAGUAAAGAAUUUGAGAUGAAAGCUUUAGGACCAGCAAAGAAUAUACUUGGAAAGGAGAUUCUCAGAGAUAGAAAAACAAGUAAAUUGUACCUAAGUCAGAAGAGGUACAUUGAGAAAGUUCUUUGCAGGUUCAAUAUGCAGAGUGCUAAGCCUGUUAGUAAUCCUUUAGCAGCCCAUUUCAGACUUUCAUCAGUUUUGUCUCCACAAUCAGAUGAUGAGAUUGAGUACAUGUCACAUGUUCCAUACUCUAGUGCAGUGGGAUCUCUCAUGUAUGCUAUGGUUUGUUCACGUCCAGAUUUAUCAUAUGCAGUCAGUGCAGUUAGCAGAUACAUGGUGAAUCCUAGUAAAGAACAUUAGAAAGCAGUUUAGUGGAUUCUAAGAUACUUACGAUGUACUACUGAUGUUUGCUUACAGUUUGGAAGAACUAAAGAUGGAGUCAUAGGGUAUGUUGAUGCUGAUUUUGCUGGAGACCUUGAUAAAAGAAGAUCUCUCAUAGGUUAUGUCUUUACAAUCGGAGGUUGUGCAAUCAGUUGGAAAGCUACUUUGUAGUCUACAGUCGCUUUGUCUACCACUGAAGCUGAGUACAUGGAGAUUACUGAGGCUUGUAAAGAAGCUAUUUGGUUGAAGGGACUCUUUAGUGAACUCAAUGAAGACCUUCAAAUCAGCACAAUAUUUUGUGACAGUCAGAGUGCCAUCUUUCUUACAAAAGAUCAAAUGUUUCAUGAGAGAACAAAACACAUUGAUGUUCGGUAUCAUUUUGUUCGUGAUAUUAUUGCUCGUGGUGAUAUUGUUGUGAGCAAAAUUAGUACUCAUGAAAAUCCUGCAGAUAUGAUGACUAAGUCACUUCCUAUAACCAAGUUUAAGCAUUGCUUAGACUUGAUUGGUGUUCAUUGUUGAAGUUAAACCCUUAAGGGGUUUUAUGGAAGAGGUGGAGAACUUGUUUAUUGAAAGUUCGCAAUGAAGAACUUGUUCAUUGAGAAUUUGUGUCAAGGUGGAGAUUGUUAGAAUUAAGUGACCUAAAUUCUUAUUUAAAUAAAAUACGAUGGAAAAUAAAAUGAAAGUAAAAUCCAUAUAGAACUAGACUUCUUUUAUUUUAUUUUAGAAUAAGGUUUUUAAACCUUAUUAAACUUCAUCUAUUUUAUAUUGAUUAGGAUAAGGUGUUUCAAUCCUACUAGAAUAUGGCUUUACAAGCCUAUAACUAGACAUAGUCUAUUCCUCUUGUAUUGAUUCAAUUUUUCGACAUAGUGAAUUUUCUUCUCCUCUGCCCGUGGUUUUUUCCCGAAAGAGUUUCCACGUAAAAUUUGUGUGUUCUUUAUUUUUAUUUUAUUUUAUUUUAUUUUUUUCUCAAAACUCAAUAGAUAGAAGAGUAGAGUAAAUCAAAUAUUGAUUAUGGGUGAUUAGCUCGCUUUAGUAAUCCUCAUCAGCUAUCACUUCGGGUUCCUCGUCAAUCAACUAGUCGCUACCCUAGCAGGAUCUUCUGGUCUUCCACUAACAUAACAAGUCAGCAAGAACUACUUAUCUUUUGACCUCACAGUUUAGGUUGGUUUAGGGUAAAGGUGUUCAUGAAUGGAAAGUACCAAUUUGGAUUAAUUCCCACCUUGAUGACUUUUCGGGGUUGCCAAGCCUAGGGUUUGUUUUAUGUUCUUCCUUUUCCAAAUAGUUAAUCCGUUGAGUAACCCUACAAAAUAGUUAAUAGAUCAUACAUCCACUCGCUAAUCCCCCAUAAAGGGAUUAGUUCCUCAUGGCUUUCAUAGACAAUAUGAAAUCAAUAUAAAGAGAAAACAUACUAAUUAAAACGAUAAGAUAAAGUAAAUGAAAGAGUCUGAUUGUAUUGAUGUCAAUUGUGAAUCCCCAAUGUUUGAAUGCUUCAACAAUUUAGAUCUCUUGAAAUCAACAAAAACAACCGAAAAAAAUCUAAAACCUAAAAACGAAAAAAAUUUACACUGAAUUUUACAAAGAGAAUUUAGGCCAAAGGAUUGAUGUCCAUAACAAGUGACAAAUGAGUCUAUUUAUAGCCUUCAGGUGGCUAUCAUCCUUAACCCUGGGUUAGCUGAUGUUCCCGAGCUUGAAUGUUUAAUUGUAUAGACCAAAAUACCCUUACUUCGUGUUUUGAUUUCAUCACAGAGUCGAUGUCGUGACAUACUAGGAACUGUAUCGCGACCUAGCAACCAAUAUACUCCUCUGUAGCUAUCUUCAGUCUGUGCCUCGACACCUUUAGUCUGUGUCGUAUUGAUGGUAGUCUUGAAAUUUCUUCAUUUUGCUUAUUAUGUUGCAACAUCAAGCAUCGCAUGUUGUAACAUAGCGGCCAAUAUUAGUUUAGUACACCUUCUAAAGGUCUUCUGCACACUCACCAAGUGCGUUAGCUAUCCCUUAGGCCUUAUUCUACCCAUAAGGUUAAUAAAAGACUCAAUUUGCACAUUUUAUUAAAAGUAAAUAAAACUUAACUAAAACGUAACGAAAAUGCUUGUAUUCAAACUCUUCAAAUACGAAAACUAGUUUGAUCUGCUACACCGAAUUAUGAUAGAUCAGUUAUGCAUGCAAAAUAUAAAAGACAUAAAAUGAAAUUAACUUCAUUUAUUUAUUCAUCAUUCAAUCAAUAGAAAACAAUUAUAUGUUCACCACAAUGUGGGCGCAUUUCCCAGCACUCUACUAGUAAGGACGUCAAGACAUUCACGUCGUCGAGAAGAGCUUUCGUUUCUCAUCGGGACAAGACUAACUGUUUGGGCCUAAUAGAAGCAUUCUCCACAUAUUUGAUGAAACAAUUUAAAUUUAAAUUUAUUUUAUUGUGGUUUUUGGGACUAUAAUUUUUUAAUUUUGGGUUAUGGCAUGGGUUCUUUUUAAGUUCGGAUUUUUGCAUGCAUUCAAUUUCAUUAAACUGAACAAGCCAAAUUAAUCUUCUUAUAGAAUAUGGUUUAAAGUAAUAACUGAUGGUUUCACUUUUUUCGCUGCAAAACAAGAGUUUUGAAAGUAAAAUGACAAAACAAAAAUCAACUAAGUUUACCCAAAAAUGUCACAACACAUAUUAAAUUUGGACUCUUAAGUUUAAAUCGAUGUAAAAUCUUAUGUUUUUGCUAAAUAUAUGAUACUACUCUAAGUUUUCUAAAAAUCAUAAAAAUAAAAGUUAUGAAAACUGAAUUGUUCUAUUAGGCAAUUUCGGUGGCCAAUGUAACUUUUAUGAUCCAAUCAUAAUGUCCAGUUUGAGUUAGGGAAGUUACAGUUACGGGUGAAAAUUUCAAGCAAUUGGAAAAAGAUGGAGUUGAACAGGUGCUCACGAGAGAAGAUGGCUAGAGACAACUACUGCUAACGGCGGGGAAUUGGAAAAAAAAAUUAUUGACAAGCAAGUUUUGUCGAAUAUGAGUGAAUAUGUUGAAUUAUGGGUUGGUGAUGGUAGAAAGUCAAAUAUUGAAGGGGACAUGAAUGGGGUGACGUUGUUUAGUACUGAUAACAUGGGUGUAAACGAGACUAUUAAAGUGGGAGUAAAUAACUGAGGCAAGGAAAGUAAGUGUUGGCAAGUCCAAUUUCAAGAUGGAUCGGAUACUAGCGGUGGGCCAUUCAGAUGGGAAGAAGGUUACGUUGAAAUAGCUGAGGUGAUGGGUGGAGAUAAUAUAACUGCAGGCAAGGAAUUGGUUGAAAUUACGAAGAGGCAAUUGAAUAGGAGUAUAUAGCCAAAGGAGACAAUAAAGUUUUCUUAGUUACAAAAUAGGAAGUUAAGUUUAAGCCUCAACCAAAAAAUCAAAUACAUUAUUUAACACUGAUCCUGUAAAAAAAUGUCCUGCACUAUUAAAAGUGGCUGUGUGAAGACGUACAACCCAAUUGCGCAAUCUCUAACCCCUUUAGACAUCACAUCUACCGCCAUGUUCGUCAUCCUUGAAGGAGGCAGCAAACUUAUUUAAUAAUAUGAUUUGAAUUAAAUAUAUGUAAUAUUAUUGUACCGCAUUAAUAUUAUGAUUAUAGUAAUUAUUAUUAUUACAAUUUCAACUUAUGAACAGGUUUGCUUUCACUAUAAAGAAUGCAUAUUAACAGUCAAAAUUUAAACAUAUUAGAUAAAAAUAAAUUUUUAAAUAAUUUUACAUAAUAAUAUUUUAAUUAAAAAAUAAAUUUGAGAAAAGAAGAAUGCCACAAAGAAUGAAUAUAUACAUUAUUAUAUUAUAUUAUUUAUGAUAUAAUAUGAUAUUAUUUCUUACAAAUGUUUCGAACAACAUUAGUUACCAUUUAAUCCACAAAGCUUUAAUUUAUAAGUGUCAAAGAAAAAUAGUAAAAUACGAAAGUUAAUAUUUUGUGGAAUGUGAAAAGAUUUAAAAAAGUGAUAUUUAAUUUACAAUUUAGCAUUUAAAUUAAAUUUAUAUAUUAAUUAUUUCAAUACUUACAAUAUCAAUUUAUCUAAAAAAUAUUUUACUCAAACAUUUAUAAAUAAAAAAAGUAUAUAAAUUACAUCCUAGCAUUAGCCUUUUUUUAAACAACUUCAAAGUCAGAGAUUUUAGAAGAACAAGAAAUCGAAGAUUAAAACACCAUAGUUUUAUAGAGCGAUUAAUAUCCAUGAAAUAUAAACAAAUUCUCACAUCCGUAGGGCACUCUCCACCGUGAAACAUUUUAAACUAAAUAUGGCCAUUUUUUUAGUUUUACCUGAUUCCUUUUUCAAUAUAAAUAUGGACCUUCAAUAGCAUAUUAUUCAAGCCUUUGCUCAAAGGGCCAUAAGUGAUAAGCAAUAAACAGCCCCACAACUUCAAAUAAGGUUUUCUUCUUUCUUGCUUUCUUUUCUUCAGGGGAAAGAAAGAGAGAAAAAGAUACUUUUUUUUGUAAAAAAGUUGUUUAAAAAUGGCAAAUAAUGCUAUUAUUGGUAUCUGUACGGUGUUCCUGGUGGCCAUGGUGGUAGCCGUGGUGGUGGGUGUUACGCACAUAAAAAGCAAGAACGAUGGUGAAAAGAUAUCGAGUUCGAACAAAGCUGUGCAAGCCUUAUGUCAACCCACGAAUUAUAAAGAGACAUGCCAGAAAAGCUUGGCGUCGUCAAAUUCUAGCGACGUUAAGGAGCUGAUGAGGACAGGUUUCCAAGCCGGGCUAGUCGAGAUAAAGAACGUAUUGGCCCAUUCAGUGACAGUCCAAGAGUUGAUCAAGGAUGAGAACAACAAAGCGGCACUUGGUGUCUGCCAAUAGGUGUUGGACUUAGCCAUUGAUGACUUUCAAAAGUCUUUCGACAUGCUAGGGGAAUAUGACAUGAGCAAGAUUGGAAAAUACCUUUUGGAACUGAAGACCUGGCUAAGCGGUGCAUUCACGAGUCAACAGACAUGUAUAGACUCAUUUGCGCAAUCAAGUAACGAAUCAUCGCAGAAGAUGCAAUCAAUCUUGAAGACUAGCAUGGAGAUUACUAGCAAUGCUUUAGCGAUGCUUAAUGGGUUAUCCACCAUCGUGAAGGAACUUAACAUUCCAAACGUCGGUAACGUCGACAGCACGGGGUUCAAUCGUAAGCUUUUUUCGGCUGAGGAUAUGCUUGAGUGGAUUAGUCAAGCUGACCGGAAACUCCUUCAAGCAAAACCAAUGGAUUUGAAGCCUAACGUUGUGGUUGCUAAAGAUGGUAGCGGGAAAUAUGAUACUAUUAACAAGGCAUUGGCUGAAGUCCCCGUGAAAAGUCCCUAUCGAUUUGUUAUUCACAUUAAGGCUGGUACUUACAAGGAAAAAAUCAACGUGACCAAGCAGAUGACUAAUGUUAUAUUCAUCGGUGAUGGCCCAACCAAGACCGUCAUCACAAAUGACAUUAGUGUCGCUAAGAAUCCACCGGUUAGAACAUACCGCACUGCAACUGUUGGUAAGCAGUAUUAUAGAUAUAUAUAAGUUUUAGUGGUGAGGUGAGGUGGCUAACUAGUAUAUAUGUAUGUAUGUUUGUGAAAUAUUUUAGGUGUGGAUGGGGCUGGUUUCAUGGCCAAGGACAUUGGAUUCGAUAACUCAGCAGGACCCGAAGGUCAUCAAGCAGUGGCUUUUAGGGCCACUGCUGAUAGGGUCAUCAUGUUCAACUGCCAUUUCACUGGGUACCAAGACACUCUUUACGCUCAUAGAGAGAGACAGCUAUAUACCAACUGUCUCAUUACUGGAACGGUGGAUUUCAUCUUUGGGGAUGCGGCGAGCAUUUUCCAGAACUGUAUGCUUAUCGUGAGGAAGCCAGGGCCUGGCCAAAAUUGCAUGGUUACUACACAGGAAAGGAAUGAUCUUGGAACAAACUCAGCCAUUGUGCUUCAAAACUGCACCAUCUCGGGCGCCCCUGAUUACAUCCAAGUGAAAGAUACGAACAAGGCAUACUUGGGGCGUCCCUGGAAACAAUUCGCUAGGUCUAUCAUAAUGCAAUCUCAGAUCGACGACAUCAUUCAACCAGAGGGUUAUGCCCCCAUGACCGGCACCAUAGGAAUAGACACUUCUUUCAUUGCCGAGUUUGGAAACAGGGGACCCGAUGCCGAUACCAGCCGUAGGGUGGCUUGGAAAGGUAUAAAAAAGAUAGAUAUAAAUGAAGCCAACAAAUGGACUCCUCGCGUCUAUCUUGAAUCCGAGACUUGGGUUCCGAGUUCCGGCAUUCCCUAUAGUCCCGACAUGGUCCUUGGAGUCUAAACAGCUUAUUAUCAAUACCAACGCCAUUAGUAUGCUUAUUAUCAUAUCAUUGUUCUAAUUAUGUCAUUUUUACUAAUUAGUAAACAGUUUUUUUAAUCUUUUAUCUAUCUAUGUAUAUAUGUUGAAUUUAUUGGUUUCCGAGUUGUUGUUUCCAUUCACUUAAUAAUGAUGUUUACAAAACCCAAAAAUUAAGUCAACGUUUAAAUAUUAUUGAACUUAAUUUAAUAAAUAUUUUAGAAGGAUUAUUUGGAUUGAUAAUGUUGUUUUCUUGAUGUAGACACCUUACUUUAAAUAGAUUUAAUAAAAUGAUUAUUAUCAAACUUAAUUACAAGAUUUAAUAAAAAAAUAGUUUAUUAAGUAAUAAUUACUAAUAUAAUAUUAAAAAUUAAUAAAAAAAUCAAUCUUAUUUUAUAUAUAUAUAUUUUUAUAUAUGGAUUUUAGCAAGCAUCCCGCUUAUGGAAUCAAGGAUUUGAUCAAGCGGUCAAUAUUUUUGAAUUUGAGCAAAACAUAGAAGAACAUUGUGUUUAUAAACAUUUAGGGGAUGAAAAUGUGGUCUUUCUCGUUCUAUAUGUCAGGUGAAAUUCUACUAGUUGAGAAUAAUGUAGGGAUAUUGUCAUCGUUUAAACUAUGGUUAACCCAAUAGUUUAAGUGAAGGACUUGGGAGAAGUUAAUUUUGUUCUGGGCAUUCGAAUCCUGAUCGAAAGAACAAAGUGAUAGCACUAUCGCAAGAUUCAUACAUAGCCAAGAUGUAAUAACCUGUUUUUCAGUGGUAUCAGAAAUAGUGGUUUUGGGGCCACAAAUCCGACGAGUAAGUUUAUAAAUAUUAUCAUUUAAUAUUUAUGAGUCAAAUACGGUUUUAAAAAGGUUUUUGAUUUGGUAAUUUAUGUUAUAUAAAUGAUAAAUUAAGUUGAAGUUGUAAAACCCUAAAGUCAAGUAGUUUUAGAAAAUGAGGUAUCGGGACAUCGUUUCUAUAUAUCAAGUUGUAAAUAUUUUUAUAAAUAUUUAUGGAGUAUUAUUAAGGUUGUAUUAAAGUUUCGUUAUGAAAUUUUAAUAUUUAAAAGGUUAAUUAGGUGAAAAGGACUAAAUUGAAAAAUGUACAAAAGUUGAAUGAUAUUAGUUAAAUGGAUCUAAUAGAUAUGGAAAGGUAAAUUCUUGGACCUGGAUGGUAAUUGUACCAUAUUUAAUGUGAGUGGAUAUUCUUAGGAAGGUUGCAUGGUAAAUCUUCUAAAUUUUAAAGGUUAUAAUAUAAUUAAUUAAUAUAAACUAAAAUAACUUAACCAAAAAUUAUCAUCUUCUUCCUUGUUUCAAAUGCUUUAACCAAAUGGUUAUGGUGGGUGAUGAAAACCCAUUCGGCUAGUUUUUUGGGGUGCUUGGUAAGCUAUUUUCACCCAUUUCUUUUAAUUUUUAUGUUUUUGAGAUCGUUGCAACUAGGUCUAGCUAGUUUGUACCUUCGAUUUUGAAACUGUUAAAGAUAUUGAAUUUUUCCAUUGAAGAAUUUUGUGAAUUAAUUUGAAGUGUUAGUUAGUAUUUAAAAGUAUUUUGUUAAAUAAUUUUUGAUGAAUUUCCCGAUUAGGGACUAAAUUGUUAAAAUAAUAAAAAUACAUGGAUUUUAUGUGAAUUUAUUUAUAAAUAUGGGCUGUAUUGGGAGCUAUAAACACUUAGCUAAGCUCAAAAUUGGGUAACAAUGGUUAAUCUACAUGUUUUAGGUUCAGGGACUAAAUUGAAUAAAAGCAAAAUGUUAGAAACAAUUUUGUAAAAAUGUAAAAAAUGACUAAAUUGCAUAAAAUAAUUUUUUUUACUAUCUAUAUUAAUAAAUUGAAUGAAAUUAUUAAUUUAGAUCAAGAUUGAGUGGAAAAUCAAUGAGAAUAAAAAAUUACCAAAAUGCCUAUGUACUUUGACAUUUCUGCAAUUUAGCUAGGUAAAUUUGUACAGUUAGAAUUUAACAUCAAUAUGAAUUUUUGAGUAGAUUAACAUGGUACAAAUUAUAUAUUUAUUUUUAAUUGUUGAUAAUUAAUGGUAAUUUGAUAUAUAAUAUUAAAUUUGAUGCUCGGUUUGGACUGAACGCGGGAUAAAGUACAAUCGUGAUUUGUGUUUUAGGGGUUUAGAGUGGAGAUGGUAUUGGAGGGAGAUGUUUGUAUAUUACCUGCGGUUCAGCAGUUGUUAUGAACUCUCGUGUUAUACUCUCUGUCUGGAGUGUUUCGGUUGGAUUAGCUCUUAUGAGCUUCUGUCCGGCGUGUUUCAGUUGGAUUAGCUCUUAUGAGCUUCUGUCUAGUGUGUUCAGUUGAUCUGACUAUGCACUCUUAUCUGUAAGUUGUUCUUCAAAUGAAAAAUCUAGGUAAGGUAAUAUGCUUAAUGAAUUUGAAAGAUUUGUUAUUUAUUGAAUAUUGAUCUGAACAUAGAUGAAUUCAUCAGUUGAAAUUGUGGAUGCUAGGGAACUCUGUAACACCCCCUAACCCCAAAUUGUUACCAGAACGAGGUUAUGAGGCAUUACCGAACAUAUCAGACAACUUACGAAUAAUUUACCAUUAAUAUAACUUUCAUAGUAUAAUAUAAUAAUUAAGUCCCUAUCUUGAACUCUCGAAGUUCAAACACGUAUUAAAAGUAGAACGGGACUUGUUCGAGUAUUCCAAUUUUUUUUUUAUAAAAAUUUUGGCAGCAUUUCUGCUUAUUUUUACCUAAACCUCCUGCAAAUUCAAACCAAAACAACCAACACCAAUAUUUCACAUUCAUAUACUAAUAUUUAUAUUAUUAACAAAAUUUUAAUUUAAUAAGUAUCAUAGCAUCAUUCAAAAUUGAUUAAAAACUUCAUUCAUUUAACAACUUAAUGUUCAUGUAUCAAAAUAUCAUGUACUUUCUUUACCAUUUCAUUUAACCAUCUAAAUUUUAUAAUUCAUCCUUCACUACCCAAAGUAAUAUACAUAUUCAGGUGACUACCUAUGUACAUGCCACCUUUACCCAAAAGAAAAAUAUACAUCACCAAGUUUGUGUUGGAGUCAGGAUUGUUCUGGAUCCUGAGCCGGGACACUUGAUUCCUACUAACCUGCGCACGGAAACAACCGUACGCUGAGUAUGGAUAUACUCAGUGGUAUUACUAUAAAUCAAGACUAUUUAACAUUAAUAAAUUACAAACAUCAACCAUAAAUUUUAUAAUUAUUUAAACUACUUUUAUGUAAAAUUAUUUUACUUCAUAAAUCUUAAAUUCAUAAUUUAUUUUUCUCAUACUAACUCAAUUCAUAAUUUAGUUCAUACAUUCUUUCUCGUACUUUUCAAUAGUGCUAAAACAAAUAAUCUCAUUUUCAAAAUUUCAUUUCAAUUAUUUACCCUAUUAACAAAGCUCGGACUAUGACAGAUACGCGGAUUCCAUCCAAACACACCAGAAUGUCCAACCCAAACACACCCGGAAUAUUGUAAAUCCUCCAUAACACACCGGUAUAAUAUAUCCUCCCAAACACACCAAUAAGGCAUUAAAUGCCUAUUCAGAUAAACCGAAGUAUAUAAUAACAGAAACAUCCUCUCGGCCGAACUACAAUCUCUUCAUCACAUCACAAAUCCAAUGGCAUGCCAUUUGUAUCGGAUUUAGUCCGACAAGUUAAUAGGGUAUUUUUUUUUCUAAUUUCAAUUUCAUUUACAGAAAAAUUUUCAAUACUCAUUCAAUCCAAAUAUCUAUUAUCUUAAUUCAUAUACAAUUUAAUUUUCACACAAGUGUAUACCAUCAACACCAUACAUUUGUCACAAUUUAUUUAUUUUCAAUCAAUACACUUUUCAAAUAAUCACAUAUUCCAUAAUUUACUUAUUCAAUUCAACUUGAUUCAAUUUAUAUCACUUUCAUUUUCACUCAAUAUUCAUAUCGAUUUCACAUACUUACCUCAAGUCUUAUUUACCAUACAUAACAAUUAAAAUUUCAGCAAUCAAUAAUAAUUAAAAUUUGAAUUAUAGUAAUACACACCGUAAUUCUCCCGUUUUAGUCCUCGAUGACUUUCUCCUUUCCUUUCGAUGCUGAUGCUUCCGGUUCUUUGUUGGCUACGAAAAUAAUAGUAAUUUACAUUAUUAUUUACAGCAUUAAUUAUAAUAAAUAAUUAAAUUUCUAAACAACUCCUACCUUAUUCCCAAUUUAAUCCUAACUAAACUUAAUUAUUUUCUUAAUCCAAUUCACUCUCUUUUUCUAUUCAAAUUUUGUCUAAACUUAUAUUUAACUAUAAAAUUUCCAGCAUAUUUCCCUAAUUUCUAAAUUUCUUCAAUUUAGUCCCUACAACAUAAAACUUAUAGCCUAGUUUACAAUUUAAUCCCUUAAUCAAUUCUAACUUAGAAUUCAUUCAAUUAAAUCCCUAAUUCCAUAAAUUUUCCAACAUGAACCCUACUUGGAAACAUAUGAACUCUUGAACUAUCAACUUAAUUUCAUCAAAAUCUUGUUUCAAAGCUCCAAAAACAUCAAAAUUAACUAAAAAAGACUUAAUUAACUUACCAAAUUAACUCCAAGCUUCAAAUCCUUAGUUUUCUCUUUUAUUUUUCUUUCCCCUUUUCUUUCUCUUUUUCUCCCCUGCUUCCCGUUUUCAACUCUGUUUCUAUUUCCUUUUGUUUCUUUAUUUCUUUAAUUCUUUUAUACUUUAUUAUUUUAUUAACAUAAUAUAAUAUUAAUAUAAUAUAUUAAAAUAUAUUUUACUUUAAUAUUAAGUAAAUUAAUAAUUAUAUAACAAGUGUACAUAUUUAUAUUAUUACAAAUGUCAUUAUCUAAUUUGCUUAUUAAAUAAAAAUCUCAUGAUUUAAUUAAUACAAUUAAUAAUUAUAAAAUAUUUUUAUACUUAAAUUAUAAGUAAUUAAAUAUUUAAAUUACAAAUGUACCCAUACAAUUCUUACACAUGUAUAUUUUAUUAUCAUACAAUUGUCUUCUAUUUAAUUUAUUUAUAAUAUAAUAUCAAUUAAAUAAUCAUAACAAUUUAAUAUAAAACCAUAAUAAUAAUCAUUAUAAUAUAUAAAACCUAAAAAACAUCUUUGAUUUUAUUUCACCAAUAUGCCACCUCAUUUGUAGUCAAUGGCUUAAUUGUCAUUUUAAUCCUUUUUAUUUUCUAUUGCUUUAUAAUUAAACUUUUACCCUUUAUUCAAUUUAAUCCUUUUUAUUACUUACUCUAAAUUAAGCUAAAUUCACUUAAUUAGAUCCUAAUUAGACACACCACUAGGCUCAUAAAUAUUUUAAAUAAUUAUUUUCGAACUUAUUUCACUAAGACGGAGGCCCUAUAACUCACUUUUCCGGUGCCCGUGAAUUUCAGGUCAUUACAUUUCUCCCCCCUUAAUAAAUUUCGUCCUCGAAAUUUACCUGAGAAGAGAUGAGGAUAUUGUACUCUCAUAGUUUCCUCUGGUUCCCAAGUCGCUUCUUCAACAUUAUGAUUUCUCCAUAGGACUUUCACUAAAGGAACCUUUUUAUUUCUUAAUUCUUUCACUUCUCGUGCUAAAAUUUGAACCGGCUCUUCUUCAUAUGAUAGAUCAGGUCGAACUUCAAUAUCUUCUGUAGAAAUUAUAUGAGAAGGAUCUGAUCUAUAUUUCCGUAGCAUCGAAACAUGAAAAACAUCAUGAAUCAUUUGUAAGUCAGAAGGUAAAGCUAAUCGAUAUGCAACUGGUCCAAUUCUUUCCACUAUUUCAUACGACCCAAUAAAACGUGGGGUCAAUUUUCCUUUCCGACCAAAUCUCAAAACUUUUUUCCAAGGAGAAACCUUAAGAAAUACUUUGUCUCCAACUGAAUAUUCAAUGUCCCGACGUUUCAGAUCAGCAUAAGAUUUUUGUCUGUCAAAAGCUGCUUUUAAUCUCUGUUGAAUCUUCUUGACUGUUUCUUCUGUUUCACGAAUCAAUUCUGGCCCAAUUACUUUUCUUUCAUUCAAUUCCGUCCAACAUACUGGUAAUCUACAUUUUCGACCAUAUAACGCUUCAUACGGAGCCAUCUGAAUACUAUAUUGGAAACUAUUAUUAUAGACAAACUCAGCUAGUGGCAAAUAUCGCUCCCAACCUGCUUCAAACUCAAUAAUACAAGUUCGAAGCAUAUCUUCUAGUACCUGAAUUACCCGUUCGGACUGUCCGUCAGUUUGGGGAUGAAAAGCUGUACUGAAACUAAGUCUAGUACUCAACGACUCAUGUAACUGUCUCCAAAAUCUCGAUGUGAACCGAGGAUCUCGAUCUGAAAUUAUUGAUAUCGGAAUGCCAUGUAGUCUAACAAUGUCUCGAAUAUACACAUCUGCAAGCUUCUGCAACGACCAAUCAGUCUUGACUGCUAUAAAAUGUGCUGACUUGGUAAGUCUAUCAACUAUCACCCAAAUAGCAUUCUUUUUGCUUGCUGACAACGGUAAUCCCGUAAUAAAAUCCAUCGUGAUGCGAUCCCAUUUCCAUUCAGGAAUAUUAAUAGGCUGAAGCAAUCCAGUAGGAACCUGAUGUUCUGCCUUUACUCGUUGGCAAGUCAGACAUUUACUUACAAAUUCUACUAUGUCUCUUUUCAUCCCUGGCCACCAGUAUAAUUCUCUUAAAUCUCGAUACAUUUUCGUGCCUCCGGGGUGCAUAGCAAACGAACUAUCAUGAGCUUCACGUAGAAUUAACUCUUUGGGCUCAGAAGUAUUUGGAAUACAAAUCCGAUUUCGAAACCUCAAGCAUCCACAAUCAUCAAUACUAAAAUUUUCUACUAUGCCAUUCUGUACCAUCUCUCUUUUCUUCAAUAAUUUGUCAUCUUCCAACUGAGCUGAUCUAAUCUGAUCAAACAUUACCGAUUUUACUCUUAAUUCGGCCAAAAUACUCCCAUCAUCAUUGAUACUAAGCCGUGAAAACAUUGCUCUUAAUUCAAUUACAGCUUUUCUGCUUAAUGCAUCAGCUACAACAUUAGCUCUUCCCGGAUGAUAGUCUAUAACACAAUCAUAAUCUUUCAGAAGCUCGAUCCAACGCCUUUGUCUCAAAUUCAAUUCCUUCUGAGAAAGAAGAUACUUCAAACUCUUAUGAUCAGUAUAGAUGUAGCAUUUUUCACCAUAAAGAUAAUGUCUCCAAAUCUUCAAUGCAAAAAUCACAGCCGCUAACUCAAAAUCAUGAGUGGGAUAAUUCCUUUCAUGUGAUUUCAAUUGAAGAGAUGCAUAGGCUAUUACCUUCCCAUCCUGCACCAAUACACAACUCAAACCACUCAAAGAAGCAUCACUAUACACUAAAAAUUCUUUACCCGAUUCUGGCAAUGUCAAAACUGGUGCUUCGGUUAACAUUCGCUUCAAUGUUUCAAAACUUUUCUGACAUUGAUCAUCCCAAAUAAAAGGAACAUUCUUCUGCAAUAGUUUCGUCAUUGGUAGUGCUAUCUUCGAGAAUCCAUUUACAAACCUCCUGUAAUACCCAGCUAAACCGAGAAAACUGCGUACCUCCGAUACAUUAUUUGGCACCUUCCACUGAACAAUUGCUUCGAUCUUUUUCGGAUCAACUCGAAUUCCAUCUGCAGAUAUUACAUGUCCCAGAAAUACCACUUCUGAUAACCAGAACUCGCAUUUACUAAGCUUUCCAUAUAACUGUUUCUCUCGUAAAAUUUGUAGAACUAUUCGAAGAUGCUGAUCAUGUUCUGCUUCUGUCUUCGAAUAUACCAAUAUAUCAUCAAUGAAAACCACCACAAACUGAUCUAAAUACAGCUGAAAGAUAUGAUUCAUGAGAUCCAUAAAAGCAGCUGGGGCAUUUGUUAACCCAAAUGGCAUUACCAAGAACUCAUAAUGGCCAUACCUCGUACGAAAAGCUAUUUUCGGUACAUCACUUUCUUUUACCUUCAACUGAUAGUAACCCGACCUUAAGUCAAUCUUCGAAAACACAGAAGCUCCUCUCAACUGAUCAAAUAAAUCAUCAAUGCGAGGCAACGGGUACUUAUUUUUAAUUGUUACCUUGUUCAACUGUCGGUAAUCAAUACAAAGUCGCAUAGAGCCAUCUUUCUUUUUAACAAACAAUACUGGAGCUCCCCAGGGUGAAAUGCUUGGUCUAAUAAAUCCAUGAUCUAGUAAAUCUUGUAACUGCACCUUCAACUCUUUCAACUCAGUGGGCGACAUUCGAUACGGAGGUAUAGAAAUUGGUGUUGUACCUGGAUACACCUCAAUAGCAAAUUCAACCUCUCUGUCAGGUGGUAAGUCCGGUAAUUCUUCUGGGAAUACAUCUGGAAACUCACGUACAGUCCUAAUCUGAUUGCACUAACUCCCAACUGAAUCAGAAUUAAUAACAUAUGCCAAGUAUGCUGGACAACCCUACUGCAGUAAUUUAUUAGCCUAAAUCGCUGAAAUAAUGCGUGUCGAACCACUGGUACGGAUGCCAUUCACUUCAAUUCUAUUCCCAUUUUUUGUCUGAAUACUAAACCUCUUUUUAUAGCAAUCCAAAACUACCCCAUGUUCAUAUAGCCAGUCCAUACCCAAAAUGAUAUCAAAAUCACCAAAAGGCAUGAUCAACAAGUCCACAAGAAACAUUUUAUCAUGUAUUAUUAACGGGCACCUCCGACAUACUCUAUCUACUAACACCGUUUGUCCCAAAGGGCUAGACACUUCUAUAGAAACUUUAGACAUUUCAGAUUCUAAUUUCCCCGAUUCGACUAGUUUUGAAUUUAUAUAUGAGUGUGACGAACCCGGAUCAAUUAAAGCAUAAAUAGGCUCAGAAUACAAUAGAAAUAUACCUGUAACAACAUCAUGUGCAUCGCCCUCCUCACGGGUCCGGACUACGUAAGCUCUGGCCGGCGCUCUGGCCUCUGACUGUUGUGUAACUAUAUUGCUGUUUCUUUUGACACCUCCACCUCUAGACACAGAACCCAAACCACCCGUACUAGAUCCUCUGCCACGAACAGUAGGUACUGAUCUUUGAGAUGUUGCAGGUGUGGCACUUUCACCUUUCGGACAAUCUCGAAUGAAAUGAUCUGUGGCCCCACAUCGAAAACAUCGUCGAGUUAUCCUCCAACAUUCACCUAAAUGUUUCUUUCCGCAAUGCUCACAGUCUAGAAUUUCUAUACUUCGGGAUGGACCUCUCACACUACUAGUAGAUAUUGUCAUCUCUUUACCUCUGCUUCUACCACUUCUAUCUGAACUAAAGCUGGAUCUCCAGUCACUUCUUGAUUCUCUGAAUCUCUUCGGUAAUGGAUUAGAACUAGUAGUUCCCAUACAUUUCCCAGCUGAUUUACCAAUUUCUGAUUUUUUAUCCAGACCCAGUACUUGUUCUAUCAUUUUUGCUCGCUCAACCAGAUCAACAAGUUCAGUAAUUCUGAGACUUACCAAUUGAAUCUUGAUUUCAUCUCGCAGUCCCCGUAGAAAUCGUUUACAACUAUCAGCCUCGGUUGGAACAUAUUCUAAAGCAUACCUGCUCAAUCUAGAGAACUCUCACUCAUAAUCCAGUACUGACAUAUUCCCCUAUUUCAACACUAAAACUCUUGCUUUUUCUCUUCGAUGUACAAUUCCCUAAUAUACUUCUUCUUAAAUUCUUUUUGAAACAAGUCCCAAGUUACCUGAUCAUCCGGCAAAUGUCUAACCACAGAUUCCCACUAGAGAUACGCUUCUCCUUGUAACAGUGAUACAGCACAUAUCAGACUCUCUCAGGGGGUGCAGUCUAAUUGUUGCAAAACUCUUUUUGUUGUUUCUAUCCAAUUUUCAGCAACGGAUGGAUCAGCUCCUUUUAAUCCCUGAAAUUCCGUGGCACCAUAUUUUCGUAGCUCUUUAAUUGGGGCCUGUCUGACAGUAGGUACAGAUGUAGUAGCAGGUAUAGCUCUCACUAUGUGCUGUAAUGCAUCAGCUAUAUCUCUUAACACUUGAGAGGUAUUUCUUUCUCUCCCUACGUUAGGAGAUUGAUUAUUUAACGGAUUCACACCAGGUGUAACAGAUUCAGUUUCUUCUAAUUCUCGACUUCCAGUAUACAUUUCCUGUUCAACAUUAUCCAUUCUUUCAUCUGACAUUUUAUCUAUAAAACAAAAUCAAAUAAAUACAUUAGCAUCCAAAAAUCCCGACUCAAUUUCGACUCGACAGUGGCAUGUACUUCUAAACUCACUUCUGAGCCCAAUUUAGCCCGAGAAUCGACUAAACCUGAUAACUCUGAUACCAACAAUUGUAACACCCCCUAACCCCAAACCGUUACCGGAACGAGGUUAUGAGGCAUUACCGGACAUAUCAGACAACUUACGAAUAAUUUACAAUUAAUAUAACUUUCAUAGUAUAAUAUAAUAAUUAAGUCCUUAUCUUGAACUCUCGAAGUUCAAACACGUAUUAAAAGUAGAACGGGACUUGUUCGAGUAUUCCAAUUUUUUUUUAUAAAAAUUUCGGCAGCAUUUCUGCUUAUUUUUACCUCAACCUCCUGCAAAUUCAAACCAAAACAACCAACACCAAUAUUUCACAUUCAUAUACUAAUAUUUAUAUUAUUAACAAAAUUUUAAUUUAAUAAGUAUCAUAGCAUCAUUCAAAAUUGAUUAAAAACUUCAUUCAUUUAACAACUUAAUGUUCAUGUAUCAAAAUAUCAUAUACUUUCCUUACCAUUUCAUUUAACCAUCUAAAUUUUAUAAUUCAUCCUUCACUACCCAAAGUAAUAAACAUAUUCAAGUGACUAAAUAACACCUAUGUACAUGCCACGUUUACCCAAAAGAAAAAUAUACAUCACCAAGUUUGUGUUGGAGUCGGGAUUAUUCUGGAUGCUGAGCCGGGACACUUGAUUCCUACUAACCUGCGCACGGAAACAACCAUACGCCGAGUAUGGAUAUACUCAAUGGUAUUACUAUAAAUCAAGACUAUUUAACAUUAAUAAAUUACAAACAUCAACCAUAAAUUUUAUAAUUAUUUAAACUACUUUUAUAUAAAAUUAUUUUACUUCAUAAAUUUUAAAUUCAUAAUUUAUUUUUCUCAUACUAACUCAAUUCAUAAUUUAGUUCAUACAUUCUUUCUCGUACUUUUCAAUAGUGCUAAAACAAAUAAUCUCAUUUUCAAAAUUUCAUUUCAAUUAUUUACCCUAUUAACAAAGCUUGGACUAUGACAGAUACGCGGAUUCCAUCCAAACACACUAGAAUGUCCAACCCAAACACACCCGGAAUAUUGUAAAUCCUCCAUAACACACCGGUAUAAUAUAUCCUCCCAAACACACCAAUAAGGCAUUAAAUGCCUAUUCGGAUAAACAGAAGUAUAUAAUAACAGAAACAUCCUCUCGGCCGAACUACAAUCUCUUCAUCACAUCACAAAUCCAAUGGCAUGCCAUUUGUAUCGGAUUUAGUCCGACAAGUUAAUAGGGUAUUUUUUUUUCUAAUUUCAAUUUCAUUUACAGAAAAAUUUUCAAUACUCAUUCAAUCCAAAUAUCUAUUAUCUUAAUUCAUAUACAAUUUAAUUUUCACACAAGUGUAUACCAUCAACACCAUACAUUUGUCACAAUUUAUUUAUUUUCAAUCAAUACACUUUUCAAAUAAUCACAUAUUCCAUAAUUUACUUAUUCAAUUCAACUUGAUUCAAUUUAUAUCACUUUCAUUUUCACUCAAUAUUCAUAUCGAUUUCACAUACUUACCUCAAGUCUUAUUUACCAUACAUAACAAUUAAAAUUUCAGCAAUCAAUAAUAAUUAAAAUUUAAAUUAUAGUAAUACACACCGUAAUUCUCCCGUUUUAGUCCUCGAUGACUUUCUCCUUUCCUUUCGAUGCUGAUGCUUCCGGUUCUUUGUUGGCUACGAAAAUAAUAGUAAUUUACAUUAUUAUUUACAGCAUUAAUUAUAAUAAAUAAUUAAAUUUCUAAACAACUCCUACCUUAUUGCCAAUUUAAUCCUAACUAAACUUAAUUAUUUUCUUAAUCCAAUUCACUCUCUUUUUCUAUUCAAAUUUUGUCUAAACUUAUAUUUAACUAUAAAAUUUCUAGCAUAUUUCCCUAAUUUCGAAAUUUCUUCAAUUUAGUCCCUACAACAUAAAACUUAUAGCCUAGUUUACAAUUUAAUCCCUUAAUCAAUUCUAACUUAGAAUUCAUUCAAUUAAAUCCCUAAUUCCAUAAUUUUUCCAACAUGAACCCUACUUGGAAACAUAUGAACUCUUGAACUAUCAACUUAAUUUCAUCAAAAUCUUGUUUCAAAGCUCCAAAAACAUCAAAAUUAACUAAAAAGGACUUAAUUGACUUACCAAAUUAACUCCAAGCUUCAAAUCCUUAGUUUUCUCUUUUAUUUUUCUUUCCCUUUUUCUUUCUCUUUUUCUCCCCUACUUCCCGUUUUCAACUCUGUUUCUAUUUCCUUUUGUUUCUUUAUUUCUUUAAUUCUUUUAUACUUUAUUAUUUUAUUAACAUAAUAUAAUAUUAAUAUAAUAUAUUAAAAUAUCUUUUACUUUAAUAUUAAGUAAAUUAAUAAUUAUAUACCAAGUGUACAUAUUUAUAUUAUUACAAAUGUCAUUAUCUAAUUUGCUUAUUAAAUAAAAAUCUCAUGAUUUAAUUAAUACAAUUAAUAAUUAUAAAAUAUUUUUAUACUUAAAUUAUAAGUAAUUAAAUAUUUAAAUUACAAAUGUACCCAUACAAUUCUUACACAUGUAUAUUUUAUUUCCAUACAAUUGUCUUCUAUUUAAUUUAUUUAUAAUAUAUUAUCAAUUAAAUAAUCAUAACAAUUUAAUAUAAAACCAUAAUAAUAAUUAUUAUAAUAUAUAAAACCUAAAAAAAAUCUUUGAUUUUAUUUCACCAAUAUGCCACCUCAUUUGUAGUCAAUGGCUUAAUUGCCAUUUUAAUCCUUUUUAUUUUCUAUUGCUUUAUAAUUAAACUUUUACCCUUUAUUCAAUUUAAUCCUUUUUAUUACUAACUCUAAAUUAAGCUAAAUUCACUUCAUUAGAUCCUAAUUAGACACACCACUAGGCUCAUAAAUAUUUUUAAUAAUUAUUUUCGAACUUAUUUCACUAAGACGGAGGCCCUAUAACUCACUUUUCCGGUGCCCGUGAAUUUCAGGUCAUUACAAACUCUCAUGGUUGAUUAUUAUUGUUUGAACUGUUGUAUUUACUUCGGUAAGAUUUAUCGUUUAAUAUGUCGAACUUACUAAGCUUCUUUAAGCUUACUUAUAUUUUUUAAUAUUAUUGUAGAUUCUCGGAAGGUUGGACGACCGAAUCAGCACUCAGGUCACACUAUCCAACUCAAUUCGAUAGUUUUUGGAAUGUUUAAUUUAGCUUAUAUGGCAUGUAUAGGCUCUUGUGUGAUUAUCGUUAAUGUUUUGGUUUAUAUAAAAACUAUAGAUGAUUUUUUGUGUAAAUGGUCAACUUAUAUAAUAUAUGAGAAUGAGGUAUAGUUUAUAUGCUAAUGUGAAUGAUAUGUAUUAAAGAAAUGUUGUGAUUGAGAUACCUUUGAUAGGUAUUUUGGAUAGGUAUUGCUUGAAUGAAUUGAUAAUUAUUUUGAUGUAUAAUUAUAUAUACUUGUGGUACCAAUGAGGGUACAUUGGUUAGGCACUUAAUAGGUUGUUUUAGUGUGUUUUUGGCUCGAUUAAAGUCAUUUUGAUUUGGCAUUUUGGUUGGCAUUUGAGUUUCUUAAGGUCCAAGCAAACUUGAAAUGCUAAUCUUGUGUUUUAAGGUUCAUUUUGGGUACACAUGGUCUGAGACACGGGCGAGUGUCUCAACCUUGUGUGACACACGGCCAUACGACACUAUCGUGUGUCCCCUGUAGGUUAAAGGCAUGCAAGUCAGCGAGUUACAUGGCCUAAGAGACAGGCGUGUGUCACAGUCGUAUGACCCCGGUAGUCCAAAUUUUUCAACUUUUUCCUAAACUUUCCAAAUAUUUCUGAUUUAGUCCUGGAUUGAUUCUUUUAUAUUCUUAGAGUCUCAAGGACUCAAUUAAGGGAUGUUAUGAAUGUAUUUGAAUUAAUUUAUAAUAUUUAUUGUAUUAGUGUAUGAAUUGAAUGGUUUACUGUUUCAUUUUUUUGGUAAUGCUUCGUAACUCUGUUACGACACCAAAUACGAGUUAGGGGAGUUACACAAGAUAUUGGAGAGCUGUGCUAUAACUGAUUCAAAGAAGGGUAAUCAACCUUCUAAUAUUGAGAUUUCACCUCUCUUUGGAGGAUUGUUCUAAGACAGUGGAAGAAAGAGAGAACAUGUGAAAUGUUCAUUAUGCUUCAACAAUAGGAAGUCUCAUGUAUGUUAUGUUGUGUAUGCAUCCAAAUAUCUAUUUUGCUAUAGGGUUGGUGAGUUGAUAUUAGGCGAAUCCAAGACCAAGAAAUUGGCAAAUAGUUAUGCAUAUACUCAAGUAUUUACAAAGAAUAAAGGAUUUUAUGCUUGUGUAUUAUGGAAGAGAUCUUACUCUUAUUGGAUAGACUGAUUCUGACUUCCAAACGUGUCGAGAUUUGAGGAAAUCAAUAGCAGGCUGUGUUGUUGUCCUAGGUGAUCUACUUAAUUUGAUACGUCAAACUAAACUUUCUAAUACACUUAAGGAGCUUAUCUUAAAACAAUUUAAGUGUCUUUUAUAUGGUUUUUUUUAUUUUUAUUUUUGUUUUUAAUAAUUUUUUAAUUAGUUUCAAGUCAUUUCUGACACCCAAAUUGGCCAAUUGUGGCAUGGGAAACCUAACAAGUUGAUUAAGUGAUAUAGGGAGUUGACGGUGGCCCGAACAGAAAGAAAACAUCACCUACAAUGGGGUAUCACGAUAUCAAAGCAUGGAAGUGUAAUACCCUUGAAAAAACUGAAAUGAAGAAAAUCGAGGCCGGCUACUAUGACAUCGCGGUACCAAGACAUCUCAAGACCAUCCAUUCCCAGAUUGUUAGGGGUAUCACGAUAUUCAAGUUUGGGUAUCAUAAUAUCGCUGCCUAACGGAUGAAAAAACUGGAAAGGCAAUUUUAUGUCCGACAAACUUAAGUUUAUUUUUCACUUAAUGGUAAAUUAGUCAAUGCUAGAUUACAUAGUAAUAGACUAUAAAUACAACUUUAUAAGCCUUUCAUUUCAAAUUUUAUUAUUAUCCUUACCCGUUAGUUAAAAAAUAAGUUACUUGUCCAAUUGUUAAGUGUUAGUGAAAUUGUCUUUAAAACCCGAGUCUGAAUCCCCUCCCUCGCAUAAUUUUUAUCUUUUUUUGUAUUUUUGCCCAAAAACCCUAGGUGUUGUCGUCCGAUGUUGUAACCCUAGGUACAUAUUGUAUUUUUUUCUUUUCUUUUCAGCCUCAUUUGCUCACCCUAUCUGCGUCCUACCUUCUCUCUUCCCAUCAUUUCUUCAAUAAUUCUUUUCUCUUAUCUUUUUUAUUGCCUCCCCUUGAAACCUCAUAUUUUCUCUUUCAUUGACGUCGUCCUAGUUGAUCAGCCACCACUACUAUUGCCCCUUUUGCUUCUCCUCUCCUUCUCUCAUUUUCUCUCAUUCUUUUGCUGACGAAACCACCAUUCAUUUUUGGUCAAAUCUUUUUUGGCCCUCUGCAAGUGAUGAAUCCAUUUUGUGAUUAUUUGUCAUCAAAGGUCUGAGAUCCGCGAAGUGUAAGUUGUUUAUUAGUCAAAUCUAAAUACAUAUUUCUUUUCUAUAAUGGUUGAAUCUAUCAAGAGUCCAUGGCUAAUUCUCAAAUGUGUUAUUUUUGUGUUUUUUAUUUAAGGUUCAUAUUCAAAUCACUCAGAUCAAUGUGACAUCAAACAUUAUUUGUAUCUUCGUCUUAAGCCGAAAUAGUGUAUGUGGUGAAUCCAAAAAUCAUAUAUGAAUUGCCAUUGUUUUCUCUGAUUUGGCCGAACCUUAUAAGGUGAUUAUUGGCUAAUUUCUAACAAUUUUUCCUUGUGUUAGGUACAAAUUAAACUAGAUUUAAUCAAAUCUGAAGCAUAGGAGCUGCAGACUAGUGUUAGUACUUUAGAUAUGCAUUAUUCAGGUAUGGGUCCUAACUUUGUAUGUUUGGUGAUUGUUGAAAUCAUGUUUGUACUUUAUUGGCAUUGGUCGAAUGUUCUAGGGCCUUAAAGUGUAAAUAACCAAGUGUGUAAGUGCUAUAAGUGUUAACCAAUUCUAUGCAUAUUGUUAUUGGUUGAUUAGCUAAAUGCAUGUUAUUACAUGUACUGUAUUGUUAAGCAUGUUGAUUGUUACUAUAUAAAUGGAUUGCAAAUAUAGCAUGCCAUUGAUUGAUACAUUGUUUAUUGCUUGCAUUAAAAAAAACAUGUCACUGAUUGAUAUUAUUUUUAUCGAAUUAAAUUGUUACACAUGCCAUUGUUAUUGAAAUUGUUAUUGAAAAGCAUGAUAUGCUACACUAUUGGUAUGCCAUAAUGCAUUGCAUGGGGAUUGGGAUUGAUUGAUGAUGGAGGAGGUCCGUGGAGUACCGGCAGUUUAUCCAUCAUAUUAUACUGGCAAUUGAAGUAAUGUUCGGAGUACUGACGGUUUAUCCGCAAAGUACUAGCGAUUUAUCCACAAAUUAUUGGCAGUCUAAUUGAAAAAAUUGUUAAUGGUGGUUUAUCCACAUUGAGCCACGACUCUUACUAUUUUGGUGUUCUAAUGAUGAUCUCUGGGGAACUCAUGGUGUGUAGCAGAUGGAUGGGUAGGAAAUAUACAUUGUUUUCACAUGAGCAUGCCAAUGUAUAUAUAAUGUACUUUUAUGAUGUCAUGCUCUACUAUGAUCUAAGAAAUGUUGCUGGCUGUAUGCUUUACUGUAGUUUGAAUGUCUACAUGUAUAUAUAAUGUUUACUAAGUUUAAGACUCGUGUUGAGCUUUUUACAGCUCACCCCCAUAAUUUUAUCCUUACAGAUAAUCCUUGAGGUUAGGAUCGGACACGACAUUUGGAGGUUUCAUCUCAAUUUUAUUUAAUAAAGCAAUUUAAAUUUUACUUUAUUUUGUUAUGGUUUUUGGGACUGUAAUUUUGUUAAUUUUGGGUUGUGACAUGGGUUCUUUUUAAGGUUGAAUUUCUGCAUGCAUUCAAUUCAUUAAACUGAAAAAACCUAAUAAAUUUGCUUAAUAUCAUACUAAAUAAGGUUUAAAGUAAAAACUGAUGGUUUCAAUUUUUCUGAUGCGAAACAAGGAAAGGAGUUAUGAAAAGCAUACAAAAAAACAAAAAGCAAACAAGUUUACCCAAAAAUGCCACAAGCAAACAAGUUUACCCAAAAAUGCCACAACACAUAUUAAAUUUAGAACCUUAAUAUUACCUCGACUUAAAAUCUGAUGUCUUUUAUAAAUAUAUGACAAUUAAUCUAAGUUUUCUAAAAAUCAAAAAAAUAAAUGUUACGGGAACUGAAUGACUUUAUUAGGCCAUUUCAGUCGCUAAUGUAACUUUCAAUAUCUAAUCAAAAUGUUUGGAUCGAGUUAGGGAGGAUAUCAUUGCGGUUGAAAAUUUGAAGCAAUUGGAAAAAUGCCACAACACAUAUUAAAUUUAGAACCUUAAUAUUAACUCGACUUAAAAUCUGAUGUCCUUUAUAAAUAUAUGACAAUUAAUCUAAGUUUUCUAAAAAUGAACUGAAUGACUUUAUUAGGCCAUUUCGGUCGCCAAUGUAACUUUCAAUAUCUAAUCAUAAUGUUUGGAUCGAGUUAGGGAGGAUAUCAUUGCGGUUGAAAAUUUGAAGCAAUUGGAAAAAUAAAUAUUACUAUUGACAAGAAAGUGUUAUCAAAUGUAAGAGAAUCUCUUGAAUUAUGGGCUGGUAAUGGAAGAAAGUCAAAUAUUGAAGGUGACAUGAAAGGGAUGACGUUGCUUGGUAUUGAUAACAUGGGUGUAAACGAGACAGAUGAAGUGGAAGUAAGUAACCGAGGCAAAGAAGGUGAGUGUGCAAGUCCAAUUUUAGAGAUGGAUCAGACACUAGCGUUCAGCCAUUCAAAUCAGAAUCGAGGUUACGUUGAAACAACUGAGGUGAUAGGUAAAGAUAAUAUGACUGCAGGCAAGGAAUUGGUUGAAAUUACAAAGAGGAUAUUGUAGAGGACUAUAUAGUCAAAGGAGACAACAAAGUUAAGAAAAUUGAGAAAGAAGAAACUAACGGCCUGUGUUGAACACAUUCCGACUUCAAAAACAGGAAGAACACGUUGAAGUUCGGUAAGAUUGCGGAAUUACAAGUUGGUGGAGAUGAGGAUGAAGUUUUGAGACAUUUGGCAGCAAUCAGAGUUAGCUCAGUUCAAAGAAAGUUGAAGUUUUAUUUUGUUUUUUCUUUGAUGUACCAGUCAAUACCCUCAAACUUUCUUCUCUGAACCCUUCCUAAUGUUUCCCAUGAAUCCCCGACGCUAGCAUGCAAACUAUCUUAUGUUUCUCUAAAAUAAGAUCUUCUCUCGAUUUUGGAUGCUCUUGGGAUUCAUUGCCAAAGUCUGACUAAUAGAUGAAACCAUGGUGUUUGAAACUUCUCCCCAUCUCAAGGCUCUAUACGGUUUCUGCAUCUAGGUUUUUUAAACACUAACAAUAGUAUCUUACAUGCUAAGUCUCGAAGGAAACAAAGAAUUCUUUUGGAUCAUUUAUUUCGAUUUUUCUCAUAUGUCUUGUUUCUCUUUGUCCAGAGUUCCAUUAUUUUCAUCCCAAGCUUUCACUAUGAUAAAAAAAUAUAUUAAACUGAGGUGAAAGUAAUGGAGAGCAAAUACAUAAAAAAAUAUAUAAAAUAAAUUGAAGAUGGAAAGUGACUAUCCUAUGCACAUAAAAAUAUUAAAAAUUUGAUAAGAAAUAUUAAAUAUAAAAAAUAGAAUUUAAUAACACGAAAUUAUUUGAAUUAAAUAUAUGUAAUAUUAUUGUAUCGCAUAAUUUUACAUGAUAAUAUUAUGAUUAUAACAAUAAUUAUUACAAUUGCUACUCAUGCACAGGUUUGCUUUCACUAUAAAGAACGCAUAAUAAAAGUUAAAUUUUAAACAUAUUAGAUAAAAAUAAAUAAAUAAUAAUGCAUUUUAUAAUAUUAUUUUUAAAUAAUUUUAAAUAUUAAUAUUUUAAUUAAAAAUAAAUUUGAAAAAAAAAAGUAUGCCACAAAGAAUGAAUAUAUAUACCUUCUUAUAUUGUAUUAUAUUAUUUAUGAUAUGAUAUGAUUUAUUACAAAUGUUUCAAACAACGUUAGUUACCAUUUAAUCUAUAAUUUAUAAGUGUCAAAAAAACUCCUAAAAUAUGAAAGUUAAUCUUUUGUGAAAUGUGAAAAAAUUUUAAAAAAACUAAUAUUUAAUUUACAAUUUAGCAUUUAAAUUACAUUUAUAAAUUAAUUAUUACGAUACUUAAAAUAUUAGUUUAUCUAAAAACUAUUUUACUCAGCCAAAUAUAUAAAAAAAAAGGUAUAUAAAUUAAAUCCUAGCCUUAGCUUUUUUUUGAAAAAUUUCAAAGCACGAGAUUUUCAAAGAAUAAGAAAAAGAAGAUUAAAACACCAUAAUUUUUAUAGAGCGAUUAAUAUCCAUGAAAUUUAAACAAAUUCUCACAUCCGUAGGGCAUUCUCCACCAUGAAACAUUUUAAACUAAAUAUGGCCAUUUUUAGGGUUUUAACUGAUUCAUUUUUUAAUAUAAAUACGGAACUUCAAUAUAUAUUAUUCAAGCUUGUGCUCAAGGGGCCAUAAGUGAUAAGCAAUAAGCAGCCCCACAACUUCAAAUAAGGUUUUCUUCUUUCUUGCUUUCUUUUCUUCAGGGGAAAGAAAGAGAGAAGAAGAUAAUUUUUUUGUAAAAAAGUUGUUUAAAAAUGGCGAAUAAUGCUAUUAUUGGUAUCUGUGCGGUGUUCCUGGUGGCCAUGGUGGUAGCCGUGGUCGUGGGUGUUACGCACAUAAAAAACAAGAACGAUGGUGAAGAGAUAUCGAGUUCGAACAAAGCUGUGCAAGCCCUAUGUCAACCCACAAAUUAUAAAGAGACGUGCCAGAAAAGCUUGGCGUCGUCAAAUUCUAGCGACGUUAAGGAACUGAUAAGGACAGGUUUCCAAGCCGGGCUGGUCGAGAUAAAGAACGUGUUGGCCCAUUCAGUGACGGUCCAAGAGUUGAUCAAGGAUGAGAACAACAAAGCGGCACUUGGUGUUUGCCAAGAGGUGUUGGACUUAGCCAUUGAUGACUUUCAAAAGUCAUUCGACAUGCUAGGGGAAUACGACAUGAGCAAGAUAGGAAAAUACCUUUUAGAACUAAAGACCUGGCUAAGCGGUGCAUUCACGAGUCAACAGACAUGUAUAGACUCAUUCGCGCAAUCAAGCAACGAAUCAUCGCAGAAGAUGCAAUCAAUCUUGAAGACUAGCAUGGAGAUUACUAGCAAUGCUUUAGCAAUGCUUAAUGGGUUAUCCACCAUCGUGAAGGAACUUAACAUUCCAAAUGUCGGCAACAUCGACA
rnacentral:lncRNA from 1 species